rnacentral:rRNA from 1 species
AUGGUGCUAGGGAAAUUGCCAUUGUACAACAACAGCCGCGAGCCCUUCUUCAAGGUUUUUGUGCUGGUGGAUGAAUCGAUGACAAAGUAUGCUUGUAAGUGGGAGGAGGUAAUGAGCUUGGGAGACUGUGCCUUAUUUUUGGGGAAAAUGUCCAGGGCGGUUGAUGUGCCAGCAGUUGGACUUGGUAGCGUGGAGAGAAACCACAUCUACGCUGAUGAUAUGACAUACUUGACACGUUUGGAUGGUCAUGGUAAUCGUGUAUAUCCUAUGCUAGACGAAAGUAGUGACAAUGUCGCGCAGAGGGUCAAAUUAGCAGGAUCUUAUGUAGCAGCUCGCGAUCAAACUGGCAUGUGGGUACUCCCUCUUGGCAUAUGGGUACUCCCUCCUUAUUUCUAG